AUACGUAGGGUGCAAGCGUUAAUCGGAAUUACUGGGCGUAAAGCGUGCGCAGGCGGUUUUGUAAGACAGAGGUGAAAUCCCCGGGCUCAACCUGGGAACUGCCUUUGUGACUGCAAGGCUAGAGUACGGCAGAGGGGGGUGGAAUUCCGCGUGUAGCAGUGAAAUGCGUAGAUAUGCGGAGGAACACCGAUGGCGAAGGCAAUCCCCUGGGCCUGUACUGACGCUCAUGCACGAAAGCGUGGGGAGCAAACAGGAUUAGAUACCCUGGUAGUCCACGCCCUAAACGAUGUCAACUGGUUGUUGGGUCUUCAUUGACUCAGUAACGAAGCUAACGCGUGAAGUUGACCGCCUGGGGAGUGCGGCCGCAAGGUUGAAACUCAAAUGAAUUGACGGGG
rnacentral:rRNA from 1 species